AACGAACGCUGGCGGCAGGCCUAACACAUGCAAGUCGAACGCCCGUAGCAAUACGGGAGUGGCAGACGGGUGAGUAACGCGUGGGAACGUGCCCUUCGGUUCGGAAUAACUCAGGGAAACUUGAGCUAAUACCGGAUACGUCCGUAAGGAGAAAGAUUUAUCGCCGAAGGAUCGGCCCGCGUCGGAUUAGCUAGUUGGUGAGGUAACGGCCCACCAAGGCGACGAUCCGUAGCUGGUCUGAGAGGAUGAUCAGCCACACUGGGACUGAGACACGGCCCAGACUCCUACGGGAGGCAGCAGUGGGGAAUAUUGGACAAUGGGCGAAAGCCUGAUCCAGCCAUGCCGCGUGAGUGAAGAAGGCCUUAGGGUUGUAAAGCUCUUUCAGCGGGGAAGAUAAUGACGGUACCCGCAGAAGAAGCCCCGGCUAACUUCGUGCCAGCCGCCGCCGU
rnacentral:rRNA from 1 species